GCCUCCAUGGGAUAAUGGUACUGACCCCUCAAAGUGAGCUUCGGCUCAUUAGAUGUGGUCGAGGGUUCGAAUACCUCUGAGGGUUCAAUUCCCUCUGGAGGCA